rnacentral:rRNA from 1 species
GACGAACGCUGGCGGCGUGCUUAACACAUGCAAGUCGAACGGAAAGGCCCUGCUUUUGUGGUGUGCUCGAGUGGCGAACGGGUGAGUAACACGUGAGUAACCUGCCCUUGACUUUGGGAUAACUUCAGGAAACUGGGGCUAAUACCGGAUAGGAGCUCCUGCUGCAUGGUGGGGGUUGGAAAGUUUCGGCGGUUGGGGAUGGACUCGCGGCUUAUCAGCUUGUUGGUGGGGUAGUGGCUUACCAAGGCUUUGACGGGUAGCCGGCCUGAGAGGGUGACCGGACACAUUGGGACUGAGAUACGGCCCAGACUCCUACGGGAGGCAGCAGUGGGGAAUAUUGCACAAUGGGCGGAAGCCUGAUGCAGCAACGCCGCGUGCGGGAUGACGGCCUUCGGGUUGUAAACCGCUUUCGCCUGUGACGAAGCGUGAGUGACGGUAAUGGGUAAAGAAGCACCGGCUAACUACGUG